AAUUUUCCAAGUUCCAACCCAGUUUAAAAUUAUCAAUUUCUAUCUUUCUCUUCCUCUCUCCUUUAUAUAUAUAUUUUUCUAAUUUUCCCACUUCUUUCUUUACUUUUUGUUGAUCUGUUCUAUCAUAUCCCUGUUUACUCUUUUCUUUUUAUCUCCAUUUCUUUUAAUUUUUAAUUUCUUUUCUUCAUUUCUCUUCCCCUCUCCCUUAUUUUUGGGUCACUCUCGUUAUCCAAUCAAUCUUCCAUUGAGAGUUUGCGUCAAGAAGAAAAAAAUGAUGGUCUCUUGGGUUGAAAAGGGAAAUGAUAACGAUAAUCUAAGAAAAUAGGAGAAAGAGAAAUGAAGAAUCACAACUUAUUUUGGGUUAGGUGUUAAAUUUUUUUCUUUGGGUUGGUUGGUUGGUCGAAAAAAAUUGGAGCAAAAAUCAUAUAAACCCGCUUACCGUUGUAUACGUUUCGGGGUUGGCAAUUCAAUAGCGGUUCUCCGAAUCAGUGUACUGGCUAGUUCCUGAGUUGACCAGUGGGUCUGCAUUUAGACCUCAUUUUCGUCAUUGGUUAGUUUAGAUUAACUCAAAAUUUUAAUUUCUUAUGAUUGUUGUUAGCUUUGUCCUUAAGUUGUCUACUUCAAACAGCAUUUUGGUACUAGUUAGAAAAGAACAAAAAUUUACAUUUGUCAUAAUACAUAACAUUGUUAUCUUGUUCAACAUCUGCAAAUUGUGGUCAGGUUUUAUGUGGAUUAUGCAGUUAUGUUAUGUAGAAUUUGUCCAUUGUUGAAUGAAUGUAGAGGUGAGUGGUGAAGUGUGAUUAAAAGAAAUUUGAAGCCUUUUCAGUUGAAUAGAUAUUGAUUUGUUGCAUUUCAUCUAAUGGGAACAUUCAACAAUCCCACUCAGGGAGAUUCCUCGAAGAUGGUAGGUUUCCUUUUAAAUUGCUAGAAGCUCCUUUUUUUCAUGAUUCAUGAUAGCAGAAUGUUAAUUUUGCUUUGGUUAAUCUCUCUAUAUAUGUAUACUUUUGCAAACACC
rnacentral:lncRNA from 1 species